UUUUCUCUGAGUACUUAGGAAUGGACGCUAUGUUCGCAAUUGUUUGCAAGACUUAUGAAGGUGUUAAGGCUCUAGAAACAUAAGAUAAAGAGGGUUGCAUCAUUAAAAGUUCUGGUCUUCAUGGGCUUGGUGCUUCAAUUGGGAGGACUAUACAUGACCGGUUUCUUGUCAUAUGUCUUGUAAACUUAAGGCAUCAAUUCGACUUCUGCUUUCCUUAAUUAUAUAGACUUGUAUCCGCAGACAUUCUAAUUUUUUUUUUUCUUUCUCCAGACCUUAUGCCGAUGAGUUUGUAGCUGAUGAUCCACAAAGGAGGCUUGAUAUUCUAAAGCCAAGAUUGCCUAUGGGGAGUCUCCGCCUGGCUUUCUUGGCUUCACGGUGAAUAUGAUUGAUGUGGAAAGCAAAAACUAGCCAAUUUCAUUAGCCUCUUUCCGGAGAAUUACCAUUCAACUUGUCCGGCUUUGAAAGAGAUCACAACAAAGCAAUGAUCCAAUUUGGCUGCUUUUUUCAUGGUUGAACUUGUAGCUAAAGAUCAAGACUAAAAAGAGGGUUGAUUAGAGUGACAAGUUGAGUUCCUUUACAUAACAUUCUCCGAAGAAAAUGUUCCUGUUGAGAUUGAUCACGAUGGAUGGGGUUAUUGGAGUUGUUCUUCUAUGUACAUGUGAAAUCUUUGAUAAUUAUCAAUUUAUCUUUGUUUCAACAACUUGAAAUAUGUUAUAAUAUAAA